rnacentral:tRNA from 5 species
GCCGCGGUAGCUCAUUGGUAGACGCACUUCUCUGAAAAAGAAGGGGUAGUGGGUUCGAUUCCCACCCGCGGCAUCA